rnacentral:rRNA from 1 species
GAUGAACGCUGGCGGCGUGCCUAAUACAUGCAAGUCGAGCGAAUGGAUUAAGAGCUUGCUCUUAUGAAGUUAGCGGCGGACGGGUGAGUGACACGUGGGUAACCUGCCCAUAAGACUGGGAUAACUCCGGGAAACCGGGGCUAAUACCGGAUAACAUUUUGAACCGCAUGGUUCGAAAUUGAAAGGCGGCUUCGGCUGUCACUUAUGGAUGGACCCGCGUCGCAUUAGCUAGUUGGUGAGGUAACGGCUCACCAAGGCAACGAUGCGUAGCCGACCUGGGAGGGUGAUCGGCCACACUGGGACUGAGACACGGCACAGACUCCUACGGGAGGCAGCAGUAGGGAAUCUUCCGCAAUGGACGAAAGUCUGACGGAGCAACGCCGCGUGAGUGAUGAAGGCUUUCGGGUCGUAAAACUCUGUUGUUAGGGAAGAACAAGUGCUAGUUGAAUAAGCUGGCACCUUGACGGUACCUAACCAGAAAGCCACGGCUAACUACGUGCCAGCCGCCGCCGUAA